AUUGAACGCUGGCGGCAGGCCUAAUACAUGCAAGUCGAGCGGAUGAAGGGAGCUUGCUCCUGGAUUCAGCGGCGGACGGGCGAGUAAUGCCUAGGAAUCUGCCUGGUCGAGGGGGAUAACGUCCGGUAACGGGCGCUAAUACCGCAUACGUCCUGAGGGAGAAAGUGGGGGAUCUUCGGACCUCACGCUAUCAGAUGAGCCUAGGUCGGAUUAGCUAGUUGGUGGGGUAAAGGCCUACCAAGGCGACGAUCCGUAACUGGUCUGAGAGGAUGAUCAGUCACACUGGAACUGAGACACGGUCCAGACUCCUACGGGAGGCAGCAGUGGGGAAUAUUGGACAAUGGGCGAAAGCCUGACGCAGCAAUGCCGCGUGAGUGAUGAAGGUCUUCGGAUCGUAAAACUCUUUAAGUUGGGAAGAAGAGCAGUAAGUUAAUACCUUGCUGUUUUGACGUUACCAACAGAGAAAGCAACGGCUAACUUCGUG
rnacentral:rRNA from 1 species